UACGGGGGGGGGCAAGCGUUGUUCGGAAUUACUGGGCGUAAAGGGUUCGUAGGUGGCCAACUAAGUCAUACGUGAAAUCCCUCAGCUUAACUGGGGAACUGCGUCUGAUACUGGUUGGCUUGAGUGCAGGAGAGGAACGCGGAAUUCCAGGUGUAGCGGUGAAAUGCGUAGAUAUCUGGAGGAACACCGGUGGCGAAGGCGGCGUUCUGGACUGCAACUGACACUGAGGAACGAAAGCCAGGGGAGCAAACGGG
rnacentral:rRNA from 1 species